rfam:Danio rerio chromosome 4, GRCz11 reference primary assembly.
GUAGUCGUGGCCGAGUGGUUAAGGUGAUAGACUUGAAAUCCAUUGGGGUCUCCUCGCGCAGGUUUGAACCCUGCCGACUACG